rnacentral:sRNA from 1 species
CCCUAGCCCCGAUAGAAGCGGAAAUCCUUUUGUGCCCGCCGCGGCGGGCACAAAAGAUUGGAACGGAUAGCGGGAUUAGCU